GUGAAUUCUGGGAGUCCCUCCUAACCGGAGAAGGCCCGCUUACACUUAUUCUUACACACUGUGCAUCUGUCCCUUUUUAAAACCUUACCAUUUUUUAACACUUGGUGUAAUACAAAAAGUGAUGGGAUCAAAAACGAAAGUUGAAUAAUGAGAA
rnacentral:misc_RNA from 1 species